rfam:Loxodonta africana unplaced genomic scaffold scaffold_14, whole genome shotgun sequence.
GUUAAGAUAGCAAAGAUUGGUCACUGCAUAAAACUUAAGCUUUUACUCACGGAGGUUCAACUCCUCUUCUUAACA